rnacentral:lncRNA from 1 species
GUGGGGGCCCGUAGGAUAUACAAAAAUCAAAAUGCUCCAUCGCCGCCGCCGCAGCAGCAUUUCUUCUUUACACGUAAAUUUCUCUUAAUCGUCAUGUAUAUCCAGUAAUUAUUUAACGACACCUACCUGUACAACUGUCUUCAGAAUUCCCAGAAGAAAAUAUGGGAAAUAAUUUUUACAGUUAUGCCUCGUGAGCAAUUAUGAAAUCACUACUUUUUUCUAUGGAUAAAAAAAAGGAUCUAAUUGAUAGAGGAAGCGCCGUAAAGAUCCCACCAAGUUCGGGAUGGAUUGUUGUGGUUCCUCUGCGCCUAGGACACUAGAAUAUGAUUUUCCUACCCCCAGAGGGAAAGGUACUUCCCUUUUGUUUUGGGCUGGUUGUGAGCGAGGAGAAUGCUGUUUGCAACCAUUCAAUAUUGUAGUCGUCCUACGUGAUGUACAUAUGAUAGUUAACGAUUUGAUAUAUGAGGUAAGAAAAACUAUCACAUUAAUACAUCAAAUCACAAAUCACUAUGUAGAAUGUCACGUAAAGCGACUACCACAAUGAAUGACUGAAUAGCAUUACUCAGAACCAAAAUACAUAUUAUCUCAUUGUUUGCCGAAUCUCUCUGUCAAAUUAAUUGUGUAUGGACCAAAAUACAUGUCACCUCAAUUUCUAGUUAACAAAAGUGUAAACAUCAUUAGUACAAUUAGCUUAAAGACUCAUUUUGCAUGAAUUUGUUUCUACUUUUGCAUUUUGUAAAAAAGAUUUUGAAAAAAACUACCUUAAUUUUUGUUUGAAAGCUAAUUUUUAAGCACUCCUUACUUCGAAAGUACUUUUAAAGAAAACUAGAUUGGACGAGCUUCUUCUAUAAACUUUUCUAGCAACCAAAAGCACUUUCAUAAAAUUAGCAAAUGGGUUCAAAAAUUUCUUUUGACUUUUCCAAUACCAUGACAAAUGAGCCCUUAUUGUAGUUUUUAUAUGACCAAUGCUCUUUGAAAUAAUAAAUAAAAUAAAAUAAUAAUGAGAAUAAUCUUAUAUAGGGCACGUUUAAGCCACAUUUUUAAACAGUGAUUUGGCAUCAUUUCAACUAAAUAUUUUUUAAUAAAAUAAUAUUACACCCAAAUUCAAAACCUUUCUUUAUUUUUAAUCACAUAUUUCCCAUCAAUACACUAUUCAAAAAUUCAUUCUAAAGAAAAUAAUGUAACUCAAUAAUGUGGCUCAAACAGGGGCAUAAAAAUAAUUUGCUUUGAGCGAAUUAAAUUGGAACUAGUGACAGACGAAGGCAUUUUGAGUUAGAAUACAAUGAAAUUUACAAAAACGUUGUGAAAAAAUUAAAAAAUUCAAUAUUUUAUUACAAUUAUCCUCUACGCAUUCUAAUACUUUAAUAACGUUUCAUAAGUACUUCAUUUUUCGCUUUUAUUAAAUAAAUCUUUUUUAAUAUAUGCAAUCAAACUAUUAUUCAACCAUUUAUAGGGACAAUCAAUGAAAGCAAAAAAUUCAAGUGAAACAAUUGUUGACCUCCAAAAAUGGCUCCUCCACGUGGCCAACUUAUAACUACUCCACGUAUUCCUCCCUGUGCAAUGAACAAAAAGUCAGGCGCACACGGCCGGAAUCGACGGGGGUGGCGGCCGUAUACACUCCGACGGUCAAGUCAGGUUUGGGUGGUCGGAACAGUGCCCUAGGGCUACACAAAUCAAUCAAUAAAGGGGGAGGAGAAUAUAUAAACUUGUUAUGGAAUGCUAUGUAUUGAGAGUUGCAUUACCUUUGCCUCUUGCCAAACUUUGGGUAUUUAUAGGUGGUAUGAACCGUGGGAUGUGGAACACGUGUAUACAUCUGACGGUAUGAAGCGUCUGUCCAUAGGCAUCAAUCAGCCACGCUUGUAGAGUGGGCCGACAGUUUGUUUCCCCCGAGUUGAAUUGACAUAAAGUUGAUAAGUCACAUCAAAUAGCCUUAUGGGGACGUCAAAUCAAUUUAAACCUUAUAUGCAGAACAAAUCUUAAAUUGGCGGCGGAUCUUCUAACGGGGGUCCACCUGAACCCGACCUCGGAGGUGGAAUACUUCGACAGAUCAGUAGUAGGAAUCGAUGUAUCACUUCGGAGAAGCUUCGGGAAGGUCGGAGUGGUCUAUUUGAUUUCGGCCUCGGUGGUGAGAUGACACUUCGGUAUCGAGGCUCGUAAAAUGAGACGUAACAGUGGUCCCCCAAAUCCGGGAAUGAAUAUUUAUAUUAUACGUGGAUUUGUUUUCCUGACCGGACCGCGGCAUGGGGGUAGCUGAAACUUUGUAAAGCAUGGGAGGAAACGCAGAGCCGAGGCGAUGAGCCAAUGGGACGCUCGCGUUAGGUGCGUCCAAGCGUCAUAAAAUUUUAGGGACUCGUCUCGCACCGAAGCGUUGGCAGGAAAAGGUCGACACGUGGGGAGAUGGCUGAAACUUUGUAAAGCAUGGGAGGAAACGCAGCAACCGAGGCGAUGAGCCAAUGGGACGUUCGCAUCGGGUGCGUCCAAGCUUUGUAAAGUUGGGGGACUCGUAUCGCACCGAAGCGUUGGCAGGAAAAGGUCGACGCGUGGAGAGAUGGCUGAAACUUUGUAAAGCAUGGGAGGAAACGCAGCAACCGAGGCGAUGAGCCAAUGGGGCGUUCGCAUCGGGUGCGUCCAAGCUUUGUAAAGUUGGGGGACUCGUAUCGCACCGAAGCGUUGGCGGGAAAAGGGUCGACGCGUGAGGAGAUGGCUAAAACUUUGUAAAGCAUGGGAGGAAACGCAGCGACCGAGGCGAUGAGCCAACGGGGUGUUCGCAUCGGGUGCGUCCAAGCUUUGUAAAGUUGGGGGAGGAGAUCAUUCGAGGCGACCUAAAAGUCCAAUGAUUUGACAACUGUUGCAUGUUUCCAAGGUGACAGUUGGGUACCAUGCCCAUUCUCCUAAAAGGCUGCUGCGGCUAGUAAUUAUUAUUGACGGCUGUUUGUAACCGAGGCGACGCGUUUCAAUUUAGCGUGAAAGCCACAGCGACAUCUUGGGCGUAGAUCAAAUCUGGCGUUUCAUUUCAACGGCCGGGAUUGAGGAUACGACGAACGGUUUAGAUUGAUCGUAUUUGAAUUCAACGGUGGAGAUUGGACUUGUCUUUCCUAUAAAAGGUGAACUUUGGGGGUUUAUCAGAGUUUCUAUCUUUGCCAGACGAAAACCAAAAUUUGCUCCCAAAUUUCCGGCGAUUUCCGGCGUUUUACAAGCAACUCCGGCGAGAGAGAACGACACUUCCGGCGAUCCUGCACCAUUUCCGGCUAGGAAAAACUUCCAAACCCGUAAGUUUCAGUACCCAUUUCGACUGUAAAAAAUUUCUUAUCGAAUGGCCUCGGAAGGGAGUUCUGGUUUGGGGAGGGGCUUAAAAAUAGUGAGGGUGGACGAGCCCAUUGUGGCGACCUCCUCAGAAAUAGCUGGGGCAAUAAUGGGGGGGAGAACAUAUGGAAGCGACCAGAUAGCCCCCCGGAUACUUCUGUGCAUUGGGGGGCGUCGGACUAUCCAUCAAAAUUGAGGGAGGCCGACCUGGGUAGACUUAGGACAGAAUACAGGAUCCCAGACAGUGUAGAUUUGAUUCUCCCCGGGCCGGAAGAGAGAGCCUGUUACCCAAGGUCGGGCUGUGUGGCCAUUAGUGAGGCGAUCCUUAGGGCCAGACUUAGGCUGCCUAUCCACCCGUUCUUUAGGUUGGUGCUUAGGUCUUACGGGCUAGCCCCGACGCAGCUCAAUCCGAACUCCUGGAGCCAGAUGGUGGGCUCCUGGAUGUUGUGGAAAGAGGCGUCGUUAGGAGUGGAGAUGCCCCUUUCUGUUUUCCAGACCCUCUAUAUACCCAAGGUUACUGCCGGGGGGGGGGAUAAGACCCGGGGUUGGUACUACUUAACGUCAUGGGGUUCCCACACUCCAUUCGUGAUCGAUCUGCCGAGCUCCAUCAAGGAAUGGAAGAGCUCAUGGUGCUGGGCAGCGGGGCGAUGGGACACAAUGGAGAGGGACCCCCUGGCGCCUCUUACAGUCCCGGCGAAGUUUUCAACACUUAGUGAGUAUAGUAGUUGCUCUUUUUGUUUCUCUUCGGUUCGGCUUGUGUUUAACAAUUAUAUUUCCUUUCGCAGGUUCCCUUCCUCGGUGCGAGCUAUCGACAGAGGACUUCGACACUAUCUGUGUCAUUUAUCAGCUGCCUCAGAAGAAGAGGUCCUACCACAGGCUGAUCCGGAAAAACAUACAUUUCAUCACUCACGACUUAAUGGCGUCCCAAGGUAAUAGGACCGAGGCCCACACUUUUUUAUUCCGAACUCCCUAUACUUGUAUUAAUUCCUUAUUCGUUUCUUUGCAGAUAACUUCAGCAAGAAGCUGCCAGUACGCCCCGACUUCAAGACCAUUCGGAAAAUGAUGGCUGAGGCAAGGGCGCUGAAGGCCUCCUCUUCUUCGUAUAAGAAGCAAAUGGAGGAACUGGUGGAGGCCAGUAAGAGGCUUCAACCUUCGACGGAGGAGGAGGUUCAGGAGGAUCCGGAGGCUGACCUCCGAAGGAAGGGCAAGAAGAGUGCUGCCCCUCCCAGACGCCCAACUGUGGCGAGGCCACCCCCAGUUAUUCGGCAGACAACUAUUCCCAUGGGGGUGGCCCUCCCAGAGAGAAGCCCCACUGCGGCAGAGCCUGUCGCUGCCCCGGACACGGCGCCCCUUGCGGCCGUACCCAUUGAACACGUUCCGGGGCAGCAGAGGAGGAAAAGGGCCCGCUCCAGCAAAGAGGUUGACUUCCUCGGCACCAAUUCAGAAGAGCCCGUAAGGGAGGUGCUGGUGGCUCUCCCUCCGGAAACAGCUGCAGUAACGGUGGUCCACAGCAAAUAUUGGACCGAAGAGUGGAGGGACCACACCGCCUCCUGCACGGCUGAAGACUUGGUGGCGGCGAACAGCGCCUGCGUGGCCCGGGCACUAAGCACAAGUAUCCAACUCGAGGGCUUGGUGAAGGAUCUAAACUCCAAGAGAGAGGACCUCGCCAAGCGCCUCGAGGAGGCGAUGCACUAUGGGGACGCUGUGCGAGCUGCCCAGGCCAAAGCCGCCAAAGCAGAGGAGGGGAAGAGAGCUGCUGAGGUCCAGCUCGCUGCUUCGCAGGCAGAGGUGGAGCGGCUGAAAAGAGAGCUCUAUGAGGUGGAGUGCCAGGUGGCUGUGGUGACUCGGCGACUUGACCACGCUAACGAGCACCACAAGCUUGCCACCGAUGCUCUGGAGGCCUCCAACAGAGAAAAGGCGGAGCUGAAGCAGCAGACAGAGGCCCAGUCAGUGGAGAUCGCUUCUCUGAAGGAGGAAUUAAAGUCUGCGGGGGAGGUGGCGGUUCAGAAUUUUAUUGAUCACUUCGAAGACCAUCCCCUUUACGACGACUUUGCCAACUUCCGGGCCUCGUGGAGUGCCCAAAGCCUACUGGGUCGGCUGAAGGAGGUGCACCCUACCCUGGACAUCUCUCAACUAGAGGCAGAGUUCGGGGGACCCACUGGAGGUCGGCUUGACAAGGUUACUGAGGAGGCUCCAGAGGCCCAGGAGGCGGCCAGUGCUGAAAUUCCUCCCACAGAUUAGGGUUUCCUUUGUAAUGGCUUCGGCCCCCCAUGUACUUUAAUUUUGUGAAAUGGAAUGGAAAAUUUUGUUAAAUUUCUGUCAAGUCUUUUUGCUUCUGCUUCUUUGUAUUCCUUUUUGUUUUAUACUUGUAAGAAUGACAAACAUUAGACUAAUUGCCCCGUGACAACGAUCAGUUAACAAUUGUGAACCGGUCCCCUUAAGCAAACACAAGUCCAAACACUCAAGUGAGUAGGAAGUGAUUCCUUACUUUAACUUCUUAAUAAUCUGAGGUCAGACCAAUUGGGGAAGCACGAGGAAACGCUUGUUAAUCGGCUAAUAAGUGACAAUCGGAUCGCUCAAAUGAGGAAACCAUUCUCUGGCUGAUCCGAUUUGGAACUGAAAAUUCAUUACUAAAGAUAAAUUACACCACCCUUUUCAAAGGUGAUUCCAUCACUUAAUAAACUUUACAACCAAGGUCAGAUCAGAACAAAUGAUUUAGCUAUGACAACUUAGGAUCAGAUCGGAACAUUCUUGUCACUAGUAGUAUUUUCUCAAGUACUCGAUGUUCCACUUGUGAGGUAGCACCCUUCCUGACAUAUCUUCGACCUCGAAAGUACCAGGUCGGGAUUCUCCCCGAAUGCGGUAAGGGCCUUCCCAGUUCGAGCCAAAGACUCCUGACCCGGUUGGUUUUGAAGAUUGGAAAACUCUUUUGAGGACGAGGUCGCCCAAGCGGAGAGUUCUGUUUCUGACCUUGGAGUUGUAAAAGCGGGUCAUCUUACGAUGAUAUUUCGCUAAGGUCAUCUGGGAAGCGUCUCUCUUUUCCUCAAGGAGGUGUAGUUCACUUAUGCGCGCCUCAUCGUUGCUGAUCUCAUUGAAAUGUAUCCGUCGAUGUGAUGGGACCCCAACUUCGACCGGACUCAUUGCUUCGGCUCCGUAGGUCAUUGAAAAUGGGGUCUCGCCAGUUGCAGUCCGGCAAGUCGUUCUGACGGCCCAGAGGACGUGGGGGAGUUCGUCAACCCAGGCGCCUUUCGAGGCAUCCAGUUUCCUUUUAAGGGUGUGCUUGAUAGUCUUGUUCACUACUUCGACCUGUCCAUUUGCCUGAGGGUGAUGCGGAGUCGAGAAGUCUUUCUUUAUGCCCAGUUCGUCGUAUAAGUCUCGCAUCUUCCUGUUGUCGAACUGCCGCCCAUUAUCAGAGACAAUGGAGUGGGGGAUGCCGAAUCUGCAAAUGACGUUCUUCCAAACGAACUUCGUAGUGUUGGCCUCGGUGAUUCUGGCAAGGGGCUUUGCCUCGACCCACUUAGUGAAGUAGUCGAUGGCGACAAUGGCAAAAGUUGCGCUUCCCCUACCUUUUGGUAGUGGACCAAUGAAGUCGAUGCCCCACUUGGCGAAUGGCCAAGGGCUAGUCACUACAGAGAGGCUCUGAGCCGGCUGUCUUUGCACGUUCGAGAAGCGCUGGCAUUUGUCACAUUUCUGGACAAAUUGGCAAGCAUCCCUUUUCAGGGUUGGCCAGAAGUAGCCCUGACGGAGAACCUUGUGUGCCAGAGCCGUCCCUCCGGAGUGGUGCCAGAGCCGUCCCUCCGGAGUGAUUUCCGCAGAUCCCUUCAUGUAUCUCUCUGAGUAUGUAGGUGGCCUCUUCGUCGCCCACACAUCGAAGAAGGGGCGAGGCGAAGCCUCUCUUGUAAAGGGUUCCUUCUUGAAGGACGAAGUGUGCAGCCCUUCUUCUUAAUUUUCUUGCUUCGCCUCUGGAAGCAGGCAGUGUUUGUUCUUUUAGAUAUGCGAUUAUGGGCUGCAUCCACAAUGGGGUGCCUUCUAUCCAUAGUAACUCUUUGCCUUCGAAGGUGGAGGGCUUCGAUAAGUGCUCAAUGGGGACGAUAUUUAGAAGCUCUGAGUUCAUGCUGCUAGCUAACUUUGAGAGGGCAUCUGCAUGGGCAUUUUCUAGACGGGGGACUUGAGUCAGUUCGAACUUUUCGAAAUGGGGAAUUAUGUCCAGAACCAGCUUCAAGUACGCGAGCAUGUUACCAUCUUUGGCUGCGAAAUCCCCGUUUACCUGAUUCACUACGAGCUGAGAAUCACUGUUUGCUAGGAGCUUCCUGACCCGCAUUUCCUUGGCGAGCCUUAAUCCUGCCAGAAGGGCCUCAUAUUCGGCUGCGUUGUUCGAGGCUCUGAAGCCGAAUCUUACCGCACAAUUUAACAAAUGGCCUUCCGGGCUCUCCAGCACGAUUCCCGCCCCCGCGCCCGCCUCUCCAGAAGACCCAUCUACGAACAACUUCCAUGUGGGGGGCUCGGUUGGUUCCAUUAGGGCCUCCAUUUCUGGGGUUUUGGUAAAUUCGACCAUAAAAUCGGCAAGGGUCUGGCUCUUGAUAGCGUGUCUAGGUCGGAACGUGAGAUCGAACUCGCUGAGCUCGAUAGCCCAUUUCAGCAGGUGUCCCGAUGCGUCCGUCUUCUGCAUUACUUGCCUCAAAGGAAAAUUGGUGAGGACUUGUAUUGAGUGAGCUUGGAAAUAUGGCCUCAGCUUUCUCGAGGCUGUAAUAAAUGCGAGUGCCAGUUUUUCCAUGUUGGAGUAGCGUGUUUCAGCUAGGAGAAGUGCUUUGCUGAUGUAAUAUACUGGCAAUUGACGCUCAUUUUCUUCCCUGGUUAGGACCGCGCUGACUGCCGCGUCUGAAACUGCUAGAUACAGCAACAGAGAUUCAUCCAGAUGGGGUUUCGAUAGGAGGGGCGAUUCACCGAGGUGUUUCUUUAGAGACUCGAAGGCUUCUUGACUCUCCGAAGUCCACUGGAAUUUCUUUCCUUGCUUCAAUACUUUGAAGAAAGGCAAACUUUUAUCAGUGGCUCUGGAGAUGAAGCGGCUGAGUGCGGCUAUCCGGCCAUUGAGACUUUGGACCUCCUUCGGUUUCUGAGGUGAACUCAUUUCUAUUAUAGCCGCCACCUUUGCCGGGUUUGCCUCAAUUCCUCUCUGAUUUACAAUGUAUCCCAAGAACUGGCCUGAUGCCACUCCGAAAGUGCACUUGAGGGGGUUCAGCUUCAUGUUAUACCUUCUGAGUAUCUGGAAGGUUUGGUCAAUGUGGCUCACGUGUUCGGCCGCCUGGAGGCUUUUGACCAACAUGUCGUCCACGUAGACCUCCAUGGUUUUGCCAAUGAGUUCGGCAAACAUCAUGUUGACUAACCUCUGAUAUGUGGCCCCGGCAUUUUUCAAUCCAAAGGGCAUAACUUUGUAGCAAUACAGCCCCCUGUCCGUAAUGAAUGAUGUAGCUUCCUCAUCAGGCCGGAACAUGGGUAUCUGGUUGUACCCUGAGUACGCAUCCAUGAAACUAAGUAGUUCAUGCCCAGCAGUGGAGUCCACCAGUUGAUCAAUUCUUGGAAGUGGAAAGUUGUCCUUGGGACAUGCCUUAUUCAGGUUUGUGAAGUCCACACAGACCCUCCAUUUCCCGCUGGACUUUUUCACUAGAACCGGGUUGGAUAUCCACCUCGGAUAUAUGGCCUCUCUGAUGAAACCACUGCGAUUAAGUUUACUUACUUCGUCUUUCAGCGCCUCGUACCGUUCCGGGUUUAGGGCGCGCCUCUUCUGUCUAUGGGGGGCAUAAGAGAGGUUGAUGUUAAGGUGAUGGCAACUGAUCCUGGGAUCUAUUCCCACCAUAUCCUCAUGUUUCCAUGCGAAGACAUCCAGGUUUUCUUUCAGGAAUCGUAUCAUCUCAAUUUUUGCUUCAGGCGACAAUGACUUCCCUAUAAGCAAGACUUGAUUGGGGUCUUCUGGAUUGACUGGGAAAGUUUCCAGUUCUUCCAUUGGGGUCGCAUGUGGUUCAUAAUCGAUUAUUCGAGGGUCUAACUCAUCAAGAGGGUGUUCUUGUUCAGGGGCUUCUUCCAUUACGACAUCUUCCUCUUGUUCAGAGGUAUGCCCUUGUUCAGGGGCGUCGAGCAUUUCCACGUCCGUACCGACUUCAGCGGGUACUUCGGCUAGAAUUACAUUGACAGUUCGGGGCUCGGAUUUACGUAGCGAGUUCAUGUAACAUGCCCUGGAGCCCAUCUGAUCGCCCCGAACCGUUGCAAUCCCACGUUCGGUUGGGAAUUUCAUGCACAGAUAGUGAAUGAACGUCACAGCCCAAAGAUCUUUUAGAGCAGGUCUGCCCAAUACUCCAUGAUAAGCCGACCUAUGAUCUACCACCAGAAAUUCCAUGAAAUGCUGGGCGACCAGGGGGGCCGAACCCAUUUCCACAGGCGGGGUAAUCCGCCCUCGUGGGAUGAUGCUGUCCCCAGUGAAUCCGAACAGUGGGUCGGUCAUGGGGAUUAACCCAUGUUCAAUUUGCAUUUUGUCAAAAGUGGAGCCGAACAAUAUGUUCACGGAACUGCUGUUGUCAACGAGCAUGCACUUUAAUCCGUUUCUAGCCACUACGGCCCUUACAACCAAAGCGUCGCAAUGGGGAUGGUGAACUCCCUCUGAGUCUUCCUGUGAGAAGGUGAUUGGGGCCAUCUUGCUUGCUGAUUUUGAUUCGUCGACAAUGUAGGUGAUCAUCGGGGGAUCCUUAGCUUCUCUUGUAUAAUUUCUCUGGGCAUUCCUGGUAUUGCCACCGACGUGGGGUCCCCCAAUGAUGGUAUCAAUUUCCUUGAUGACCUGGCUUCCAGCGAAUUGAGCUUGGUUCUCUUGCCUGGAUUGGCCUCGGUUUCUUGAUUCUCUUCUGCGAGGAGAUUGUUCUUGGUGACCCCUUCCUCCCCUCCUCGGGGAGAUGGAUCUGCGGGGGUGCUCAUUUCUGCUGGAAGUGUGGGGGUUGCUUCGAUCAGGGCGCCGGUUGGCAUCCCGACACUCGCUGGUGUCAUGCCCGUAUAGUUGAUGGAAAGUACAAAAUCUUGCUCCUGGUAAGGGCCUGUUUGGCCUCUUUUUCUCCUUCUUGUUGUUGUCAGUUCUUCUAGACGGUCCUGCCUCCGCGGGUGCGUUAUCAUAUGCCAACACCGGCACUGCGUUCAAUGUGGCGGAAGCUAGGGCCUGUCCGGAUGUGGGAGCUAUGGUAUGCCCUGCUUGGGUCCAUUGCUGAGUAACAAGGUGCGCUGCGGGGCCUCGACCUACGUGCCUCUGUGGGGGAGGGAGUCCCUGCGCGGCACGGUUACGAUGAUCAAUCAUUUCUUCACUAAUUAUUUCCACCCUCAUCAUCUCUACCAGCUCGUCAUAUGUGGAGGGAUUCUUGCUGCACACGUCCCUCCAAAACAAAGUGUUCAUGUUGAGACCACCUUUCAGGGCUGAAAGGGCUUCCCUGUCAGUGACCUGUUCGCAGUAAGUAAUCUCGUCUGUAAACCUGGCGAGAUAGCUUUUCAGCGUCUCUCCAGGGGCCUGCCUCAUGUCUUGCAGGCGUUGGAUUGGCGCCUCUCCUUCCCUGCGUGAGAGGUACUGGUUCAAAAAUGCUUUCUUCAAAUUCGACCAACUUCUGACGCUUAGGGGAGGAAGCCUGCUGUACCACACCUCGGCAGCUCCGCCUAGUGUUAAAUGGAAGGCUCUGCACUUUAGAGCAGGUGAGGCUCCCCUAAGACUCAUUUGUGUCAUAUACUUUGUGAGGUGCUUCUCCGGAUCCCCUUUUCCCUCAUACUUGGGAAUCUUAGGGGGCAUGAAAUUAGUUGGCAUUGGGAAGCUUCGGAUUUCCCUUGAGAAAGGGAGGUUAUCGUCAACGUCGUCAAUCUCAUAAGAUCGGCAGGGCCCCUCUGAUCCUUGAUCAUCUUGGACGUCUUGGGGUGGAGGAGGUGCUUUCCCCCGGCUCCCCCAAUCGACUAAGUUUCUCCUCUCCCUCCUAUUUCUAGGAGGAGGAGGAGGAACAUACUCUUCUUCGUGGUCUGACCGGACCGACCCUCUUGAAGGGCGGAUCCUAUUGCUAGGAUCGUUCCCUAUCCGGUCGAAAACGCUUACUGACCUCUAGUCAUCGUGUUCUUGAGGAAAGUUGUCCCCCAAGAGUGUUCUGAUGGGCGGCUCUCCUGCACAUAAGAUGUCGCUUCGGUGUUACCCUCUCUUUCGAGAGGACGUUCUGUGUGCCGGCUCAUGUGGCCUCGAGAAUGAGACAAAGGGAUUUCCUAUACCGGAUACGAUCCUUGGGGCAUCUGGUGUCCCUGGGCUUGCAUGAGAAGUUCCCGCAUCGCCAUAUUCUGAGCUGCUAUGUCUCUCAUGCCCGCAGCUAUCUGGGCCAUUCCUUUAGUGAGUAUGGCUGUUCUUUCGCCUCGUCGACGCCGGUGAUGCGGUCUCUGAUGAGUAACAUUGUUAUGGAGUACCUCUUCUUCAGAGACCUCUCUGAUGGGGUUGUCUUCACGGCUGUAGCUCAUCCUACCUCUUCUUUCAAGGAUAGUAAGAACUUGGAUUGUAAUUCGACUUUUGUUCUUUUUCAAGAAUGCCCCCCUUUUCAGGGUCAGUCGCCGGUUUUUCGGUGUCUUCUCCGAUGGGGAAUGUAAAACUUUAAACGGGGAAUGACGUUCCCACAGACGGCGCCAAACUGUUGACCUCCAAAAAUGGCUCCUCCACGUGGCCAACUUAUAGCUACUCCACGUAUUCCUCCCUGUGCAAUGAACAAAAAGUCAGGCGCACACGGCCGGAACCGACGGGGGUGGCGGCCGUAUACACUCCGACGGUCAAGUCAGGUUUGGGUGGUCGGAACAGUGCCCUGGGGCUACACAAAUCAAUCAAUAAAGGGGGAGGAGAAUAUAUAAAUUUGUUAUGGAAUGCUAUGUAUUGAGAGUUGCAUUACCUUUGCCUCUUGCCAAACUUUGGGUAUUUAUAGGUGGUAUGAACCGUGGGAUGUGGAACACGUGUAUACAUCUGACGGUAUGAAGCGUCUGCCCAUAGGCAUCAAUCAGCCGCGCUUGUAGAGUGGGCCGACAGUUUGUUUCCCCCGAGUUGAAUUGACAUAAAGUUGAUAAGUCACAUCAAAUAGCCUUAUGGGGACGUCAAAUCAAUUUAAACCUUAUAUGCAGAACAAAUCUUAAAUUGGCGGCGGAUCUUCUAACGGGGGUCCACCUGAACCCGACCUCGGAGGUGGAAUACUUCGACAGAUCAGUAGUAGGAAUCGAUGUAUCACUUCGGAGAAGCUUCGGGAAGGUCGGAGAGGUCUAUUUGAUUUCGGCCUCGGUGGUGAGAUGACACUUCGGUAUCGAGGCUCGUAAAAUGAGGCGUAACAACAAUUAUUCUUCUAUAAGUAAAAGCGCUACAAAAUUAAGCAUAAAGAUUUCACAAUAGCCUAAUUAUACUACCCCUGUUUGAAUGUUUGAUGAAGUUCCCACAAUCAUAAUUCCAUAAGAAUAAUGUUGUUUAUCUAACAAAUCACAAAAUAAAUCUCAUAAAUCAAAAAUCACAAUUCACAAAUCACAAGAAUGAUCCAUCACAGCCACAGGCCAAAGGUUCACAAAUCACAAAAAUAUAUUUUCAUAUUCCAGAUGAAUCAGAUGAUGAGAUACAUGCAUACAAUAAUAGACUAACAGUCAACGGAAGCAAAUCUCCAAAACUAACAGACCAAUCAAAAGUUGUAAAACUGUUACUGACCUUUGGGUUUUGGGUCAGGGGUUGAACUUUGGAUAAUGAAGUGGUGGCGCGGCGGACUGGCAGUGGAGAACUGGCUAGCGAAAUCUGGAGCAGACAGUCGGUCAAUAGCGAUGGCUGAAUCAGGUUCUUCUGCUUCAGUGGAAUGGUGGAAUGGAUGAAUUAGGUUGUUCUUUCUUCCAAGGAUAACGAUUUAUGAGGUAAUGGCCGAAUGGGUUUUGGCAUUUUGCAAAGGGCAACGAUAGAAUAGACUGGAUGCUAAAUCUGAUUUUGAUAUUCUUC